AUACAGAGGGCUCGAGCGUUGAUCGGAAUCAUUGGGCUUAAAGGGUACGUAGGCGGGCUUGAAAGUAUGUUGUGAAAUCCCACGGCUCAACCGUGGAACUGCGAGGUAAACUUCAAGUCUUGAGAUCGGUAGAGGUUGUCGGAACAAUAGGUGGAGCGGUGAAAUGCGUAGAUAUCUAUUGGAACGCCAAAGGAGAAGUCAGACAACUGGGCCGAAUCUGACGCUGAGGUACGAAAGCGUGGGUAGCGAACGGGAUUAGAAACCCCAGUAGUCC
rnacentral:rRNA from 1 species